GGAUGCGAUCAUACCAACACUAAAGCACCAGAUCCCAUCAGAACUCCGAAGUUAAGCGUGUUGGGCGAGAGUAGUACUAGGAUGGGUGACCUCCGGGAAAGUCCUCGUGUUGCAUUCC
rnacentral:rRNA from 2 species